UGCGACGUUGGCCGCCCGGCUGGCGAAGGGCAACCUGGGGUACUCUCACUCUCCUCGGAACUCUCCCUCAAACUCAUAUGCACUUCUUCCUCUGUCAGUGAAGCGAUCGCGCACACGGGAGAACGCUUCCAUUGCGGGCAACGUUAGCGAGUCCCCGUGAACCUGUACGCCGCACACUCAAAAACGGACUGUCCGACGAGGACCGAAAACACCUCGCCGCAUACAUCAAGGGCUACUGACCCACCAGCCUGUAACUAUUUUGUUUUUAUUGUUGUUGUUUUACCCCUCCUUGUAAUGUUAAUAAAUUAAUUAUUGUGAACGCGUCGCUGACGCGAGCAUUCGGCAUGCCAUGUCGGGGAGAAGGAUCUGUCGGGUCGCACAUCGUCACGGGUCGGACGAGUGCAACAAGGAAUGCGCCGGCCCGGCCGUGAAUACUCCUUUCCGAAUCGAGGAAUUCAAACUUGUUUGGAUUGAUCCUUUGGAAAGGGUAUAUUCGACUGGGCUCGGUGCAGCCCUACUGUGAUAGUGGUGCCCCUUUUGGGGGCCACAGGGGCCUCAGGCAGUCCCACGCACCGUCCUCGCCGUCACACGAAAUGGGCGUCGAUUCGACGUCGGUUCGGCAUCAGCGUGACGUUGAAGCGCCCUCGGAUCGACGCCAAAGAUAUCUUGUUUUAUACCCCCGUUCUUAAAGUUUAAAGUGAGUUGACUGAGCGUUAAGAUACGAGUACAAAGUUAUACUCGCCCAUGUACCCACCGAGAAUUGUUCUUAUUGUUAGCGUGUGCGAUAUUUGUUUCAAUUCGCACCCACUACAUGUUUUUAUUUUUCCGGGGAGCUUGUGGUACUGUAUCUUUCAACAUUAUGUUUUCCUUUAAAUCAGUGCAGCCCCAUUCGUUAAUAGUUUUUAGUCCUCUCUUGCACAUAGUUCCUCUCCCCUCUUGCAUGCCUUGCAAAAUGUGAUAAUGAGAACUGUAAAUUUAUGCUAAAGUGUUGCUAGUCUCUUUUUUUUUUUACAAAUAAAUACUGUGUAUUUUUACGCUUUUUUUUGAAAGUAUUGAGCUUGAUUCAGAUUUGUAUUCAGAUCCUAUCAUUAAUUUUAAGGGCACAAAUAAAUAUGAGAGAAAAGCAAAAGCUAAAAA